AUGAUUCCAAAUGAUAUUGGUGCCUUGCAUUCAUUGGAAUCUCUUGACCUCUCCAUGAACAAGCUUACUAGUGAAAUCCCAUCGAGUUUAUCAAGUUUGACAUCCCUGAGUUACUUGAACUUGUCCUACAACAAUUUAUCUGGAAGGAUACCCUCAAGCCGCCAACUUGGCACCCUCAAUGUAGACAACCCAGCACUUAUGUACAUUGGCAACAGUGGACUUUGUGGGCCUCCUCUCCAGAAGAAUUGUUCAGGAAAUGAUACGGGCACUAGUCAUGUUGGAAGCAACAACCAUGAGGAAUUUGAACUGAUGACCUUCAAAUUUGGUCUUGUCCUGGGACUUGUGGCGGGGCUUUGGAGUGUGUCCUGUGCACUUUUGUUCAAGAAGGCAUGGAGGACAGCUUAUUUUCAACUCUUUGAUGAGAUGUAUGACAGAAUCUAUGUAUACGUGGUUGUGAAAUGGGCAAGCUUGGUAAGGAAAACAGAUGAAAAUGAACAAGUUGCCUGA
rnacentral:rRNA from 1 species